GCUUACGGCCAUACCACCCUGAGAACGCCCGAUCUCAUCUGAUCUCGGAAGCUAAGCAGGGUCGCGCCUGGUUAGUACUUGGAUGGGAGACCGCCUGGGAAUACCAGGUGCUGUAAGCU
rnacentral:rRNA from 1 species